rnacentral:rRNA from 1 species
GAUGAACGCUGGCGGCGUACCUAAUACAUGCAAGUCGAGCGAACAGACGAGGAGCUUGCUCCUCUGACGUUAGCGGCGGACGGGUGAGUAACACGUGGAUAACCUACCUAUAAGACUGGGAUAACUUCGGGAAACCGGAGCUAAUACCGGAUAAUAUAUUGAACCGCAUGGUUCAAUAGUGAAAGACGGUUUUGCAGUCACUUAUAGAUGGAUCCGCGCCGCAUUAGCUAGUUGGUAAGGUAACGGCUUACCAAGGCAACGAUGCGUAGCCGACCUGAGAGGGUGAUCGGCCACACUGGAACUGAGACACGGUCCAGACUCCUACGGGAGGCAGCAGUAGGGAAUCUUCCGCAAUGGGCGAAAGCCUGACGGAGCAACGCCGCGUGAGUGAUGAAGGUCUUCGGAUCGUAAAACUCUGUUAUUAGGGAAGAACAAAUGUGUAAGUAACUAUGCACGUCUUGACGGUACCUAAUCAGAAAGCCACGGCUAACUACGUG